GAUGAACGCUGGCGGCGUGCCUAAUACAUGCAAGUCGAGCGAACAGAUGAGGAUCUUGCUCCUCUGACGUUAGCGGCGGACGGGUAAGUAACAGGUGGAUAACCUACCUAUAAGACUUGGAUAACGUCGGGAAGCCGUAGCUAAGACCGGAUAAUAUAUUUAACCGCAUGGUUCAAUAGUUAAAUACGUGUUGGCUGUCACUUAUAGAUAGAUCCGCGCCGCAGUAGCUAGUUGGUAAGGUAACGGCGUACCAAGGCAACGAUGCGUAGCCGGCCGGAGAGGGUGAGCGGCCCUACUGGAACUGAGACCCGGUCCAGACCCCAAAGGGAGGCAGCAGUAGGGCAUCUGCCGCAAUGGGCGAAAGCCUGACGGUGCAACGCAGCGUGAGUGAGGAAGGUCUUGUGAUCGUAAAACUCUGUUAUUAGGGAAGCACAAAUGUGUAAGUACCAAUCUACGUUUUGACGGUACCUAAACAGAAAGCAACGGCUAACUACGUG
rnacentral:rRNA from 1 species